GGGGGCGUAAUGGUUUCGACGGAGAGACUGAGGUCAAAGUAUAAAGCAUGUGGUAGCGCCCAGCCUACCUUAAAAUGGGCAAACAAACAAACGCAGACAAUAGAUCUGUUUCAACAACAAACGUAGUUCCUAUGGCUGCCUAAGUUGGUUGAAAAAAAUUGGUUAAAUUUCUUUUAACCUGCUCAUUAUAAAUCUGACCAAUUUAUAAUUUGAGUAUCAUCAAACGGUCAACCUUCAUGAUGAGUUCGUCAUUAUAGUCAUGAAAAAUUCAAAUGGCUGGUCAAGAAAAUCUGUCUAUUGGAUCACUUCUUGAUAAGAAACAAUCAUAGACUAAACAUGUAGAAAAACUUUGGAUCAACUUUUCGGACGCGGGUUCAACUCCCGCCGUCUCCACCA
rnacentral:tmRNA from 1 species